UCAGAAAGAGGAGAAGAGGAGAGAGAGAGAAGUCUAUUUUUUUUUUUCUAAUCCGGGAUCGUAAUUUAGAGGGAAAUUUUCUUACUUGAUGUCGAUUGAUAGUAGAGGCAGUUGAUUUAUGUUGUGCGUUUGAUAGCAUAAAAAUGGAUGCUGUAUGUGUAGAUAGCAGCAAACGGCGGUUGCCAAUAUGGAUGAUCGGUAUGGCUACUGCUGCUGACCCAGUUGGAAAAAAUUCUGAAUCCAAUAGAGAAGAACACGAGGAUGGGAAGGCUCUGAAAGGGGGUAAGUGUGGAAGAAAGAAGAAGCAGCAAAACAAUUUCAUUGGACAAGAUGGUGAUUCUCAUGAUGGGGUUAUAAGAAAUGCGGGCAAAAGGAAGAGUUCGUUAUCAAGGGUAGUUCCUAGAAAGCAUCGAACCGAUGAAGUAUGCAGUACUACUGGGACAAAGCGAAAAAGUAAAGCAAAAGCUUCAAGCAUUAUUGAGAAUGGAGAGGAAAUCGAAGGUUCUUUGACUGGCGAAAAAGAUGAGGAUUUGACUAUGGAAGACAUUAUGAGCAUUGCUAAAGAGGUGGCCUGUGGUAGCCACUCCAACUCAAAAGGGGAUUCGUCCGGAAGAAAGAAGAAAAGAAACUUCAUUGGACAAGAUGGUGAUUCUGGUGGACGUGUUAUAAGAAAUGGGGACAAAGAGAAAACUGAACAUCCUCCCCGAAAGCCAAAAAGUAAAGCAAAAGCUUCAAGCAUUGAGAAAGGAGAGAAAAUUGAAACUGAUGAGGAUUUGACUAUGGAAGAUUUAAUGAGAAUUGCCAAAGAGUAUGUCAAAGAAGAUGAAUUUGUUGCGCCUACACAAUCAUCAUCGAAAGGUCAAUCUGAAGAAAUUACUGAGUUACGAGGCUCAUGCCAUGGCUCUCGAUCUGCAGUAAUGGAAAGUGAAAAGUUGGUUCCAUCUUGUGUGUCUAAAACUAAAGAGAUUGUUGUUGAGCCAAAUAUGUCAGGGGAUCCUACUCAGGACAUGUUGGAUUUGUUUUUGGGUCCUCUGCUUAAGAGAACCCAAGAAGAAGAAAAGAAAACCAAUUUAAUUUCAGAGGAGAUGAGUUUUGCCUAUGAAAUCAAGAAACAAAAACAGAGUGUUGUUGUUAGGGAAGAACAGGCUCCUUUGACAAAGAAGAAGAGCAGUCUCAAGGACAAGGUUGCUAUGUUUCUGGACUGAAUGAUAUGAUACAUCGAAAUUCACUUGAAACUUGAAGUUUCAAUCACCUUCAUUGAGUAGAAUGGCGUCCAAACAGGGGCAAAGCAUAAGAGAAGUUUAAAAAGGAUUUCUUUCAAGCAGAAGAGACAAUGAGACAUUAAUCAGUUUGUUGUUAAGAGGAUUUCUUUCAGCCCGAGAAGAGCUUAAAUAAUUGUAAAAUUAUAUGAUCAGGCACUUCACUGUGCAUUGUUACAUUGUUCCUAUACUUUCUCAUUUUGAGUACUGGAAUAAACAUAUAGUUGCAUUCUGCUUCAUUGAUAAUCAGAUUAAGUUUCAUAUUGAGGAUUUAUUUCCUUAUACAUCUUUCAGGACAGCUGAAAAUUCCGGUAGUUUCUGAACUUUUUAUAGGCCAUGCUUCAUUAAAUGUCCCUCUGCACCUAUUACGGUAUUCAGAAGAUUCUAACCUUAAUAUACAGUAAAAAUGACAGAAAAUUGUCCAAUUAUAAGUAGAGUAAUAGUGGAAAGUUUUGCAGUAGUAAGGGAACGGAGGAAAAGCAGAAGUUAGCAGGACUACUAGUUUCUUGAACCUAGAGUUUGUGCACACGAUUGACGGUGAUUCUCUCCUUGGGACCUUGACAUCUUAUGAUGCGUAACAGAUGUCAAGGGAGUAUUGUAAAUCAUCUUUUUGGUAGAAACGUUUGUGCUAAUUUAGUCUAUGGGACAUGGAGAUAAAUUCGUUAUGUUGUAUCAUGACUUAGUGCCCGUUUGGUAGUGCUUUGGUUUUUGCCUCUACUUUUUGUAGAAAAACUUCCUAAAAAAGCUAUUUUAGGUCAACUUUCUUGAAAAACUCUUAUAGUCUUAAGAGACAAAGCGCUUCCUAAAAAUUAACCAAACAUAUUCAAAAGAGAUUUCUUAAUCUCAGAAGCAACUUUUGGUUUUUCAAAAACCUUGCUAGACAUGCCCCUAUUCUUUUACCAUGGCAAAGAAAUAAGAAAAAAGAAGUCUUUCACCAUUCAAAUUGCAAAGAAGUAAGAAAAGGAAGAAAUUGUAAAAUAUAACCGGUCUUUUAAUGUGCUUGCGUCUAUUACAAGUGAAUAUUCUCAUUCAAUGUCUUCAAACAAUUGUUUAUUAGGGAAUCUUAUUCCAGUUAGGUUGUCUCUGGAAUCAACUAAUUUUCCAUUAUUUUAGUUAUAUAAAAAUAAAUAUUUUAACAAAGAAAAAAUUAGAUGAUUUUGUAUCCAUUUGAAUUCUGAGAAGCAAUUAGGGAGUCCGGCUUGUGUUUUGAAAGGAAAUAUUUAAUUAAGAGGGAAAACUCAUGAACCACUACUCCU